UAUAUUCUUCGUUGUGGGUCCUUCUAGUUGUGGCAUGUGGGACGCCGCCUCAGUGUGGCUUGAUGAGCAGUGCCAUGUCCGUGCCCAGGAUUCGAACCAAUGAAACACUGGGCCUCCUGCAACAGAGCGUGCGAACUUAACCACUCGGCCACGGGGCCAGCCCCUCUAUGUCUGAAUUUUAUGUGAUUUUUCAGUCAUUAAAGGUUAACCUCCUUACACUCUGGACCACCAAGGAAGUCUGUCUCCUGAAAACACCUCUGCAUGUCUUGGAAGCACAAAUAAGGAAGGAGAUUUUGCACCACUUAAAAAACCACUCCUCUGCUCCUCAUCAUUUUGUAAUUAUUUUUUUCUAUCAUAUUUGCCUUAGAUUAUGGGAUAGAAUUUAUGACUUUUUUAUAACUUUAUAUAACCUCGAAUUUAGAUGUAAUUUAAGUAUGUUAAUCUAUUACAGAUUAUACCAUAAAUAAUGACAUUAGAACAUGUGGAUUAUACUAAUACAGUUUUUUUUCUGUAAAACACUUUAUAAUGAAUUUAUUCUGAUGCUUUCAGGGCAAUAAUAUUGUAUGUAACGAAUGUCAUAAUUUCUAGGAGUGCAGGUUUAUUUUUUGUUUUAAAAUAUGUUUCAUUCCACUGAUACAAGAGGACUAAGACAUUCCACGCCUGUGGUCAAUAAACGAAUACUAAGAGAAGGACUGCUCAAGGAACGUUAUCACAGUAGGUCUUUCAUGACAGAACUCAACUCAGAAUACCUGAGAGUUAAGCCUCACUUCAGAUCAUAGAGGUGUGAUGGAAAUCAGAUCCACAUCCGACCGAGAACAAGUGACAUUUCUAAACAUUGUUUAAGCCUUUGGAAGAGAAAGAAAAAUAAAAACAACACAAAAAGUUCAGCCUACCUUCACAGGAAAAAUAUCAGACUGAUUUCAGACUUCUCAUCUGCAACACUGCAUUCUGAAAUUAAUGGGACAAUAGCUUCAAAUCUGAGGGGAAAAAAAGAUUUACUUACCAAGCCUAAAACUUGGCCAACUGUGAGAGCCUGUUAAAGACAUACUGACAAUUAAAGCAUUUAGGUAUCUGUAUAUAUAUAUAUCCAAUCAGAAAAAAAUACUUAAAUUAUUUCAACAAAAUGAAGAAAUAAUUAAAAGAAGAUGAUGU
rnacentral:lncRNA from 1 species